rnacentral:rRNA from 1 species
ACGGGAGACACACGGCGGGUGCUAACGUCCGUCGUGAAGAGGGAAACAACCCAGACCGCCAGCUAAGGUCCCAAAGUCAUGGUUAAGUGGGAAACGAUGUGGGAAGGCCCAGACAGCCAGGAUGUUGGCUUAGAAGCAGCCAUCAUUUAAAGAAAGCGUAAUAGCUCACUGGUCGAGUCGGCCUGCGCGGAAGAUGUAACGGGGCUAAACCAUGCACCGAAGCUGCGGCAGCGACGCUUAUGCGUUGUUGGGUAGGGGAGCGUUCUGUAAGCCUGUGAAGGUGUGCUGUGAGGUAUGCUGGAGGUAUCAGAAGUGCGAAUGCUGACAUAAGUAACGAUAAAGCGGGUGAAAAGCCCGCUCGCCGGAAGACCAAGGGUUCCUGUCCAACGUUAAUCGGGGCAGGGUGAGUCGACCCCUAAGGCGAGGCCGAAAGGCGUAGUCGAUGGGAAACAGGUUAAUAUUCCUGUACUUGGUGUUACUGCGAAGGGGGGACGGAGAAGGCUAUGUUGGCCGGGCGACGGUUGUCCCGGUUUAAGCGUGUAGGCUGGUUUUCCAGGCAAAUCCGGAAAAUCAAGGCCGAGGCGUGAUGACGAGGCACUACGGUGCUGAAGCAACAAAUGCCCUGCUUCCAGGAAAAGCCUCUAAGCAUCAGGUAACAUCAAAUCGUACCCCAAACCGACACAGGUGGUCAGGUAGAGAAUACCAAGGCGCUUGAGAGAACUCGGGUGAAGGAACUAGGCAAAAUGGUGCCGUAACUUCGGGAGAAGGCACGCUGAUACGUAGGUGAAGCGACUUGCUCGUGGAGCUGAAAUCAGUCGAAGAUACCAGCUGGCUGCAACUGUUUAUUAAAAACACAGCACUGUGCAAACACGAAAGUGGACGUAUACGGUGUGACGCCUGCCCGGUGCCGGAAGGUUAAUUGAUGGGGUUAGCGCAAGCGAAGCUCUUGAUCGAAGCCCCGGUAAACGGCGGCCGUAACUAUAACGGUCCUAAGGUAGCGAAAUUCCUUGUCGGGUAAGUUCCGACCUGCACGAAUGGCGUAAUGAUGGCCAGGCUGUCUCCACCCGAGACUCAGUGAAAUUGAACUCGCUGUGAAGAUGCAGUGUACCCGCGGCAAGACGGAAAGACCCCGUGAACCUUUACUAUAGCUUGACACUGAACAUUGAGCCUUGAUGUGUAGGAUAGGUGGGAGGCUUUGAAGUGUGGACGCCAGUCUGCAUGGAGCCGACCUUGAAAUACCACCCUUUAAUGUUUGAUGUUCUAACGUGGACCCGUGAUCCGGGUUGCGGACAGUGUCUGGUGGGUAGUUUGACUGGGGCGGUCUCCUCCUAAAGAGUAACGGAGGAGCACGAAGGUUGGCUAAUCCUGGUCGGACAUCAGGAGGUUAGUGCAAUGGCAUAAGCCAGCUUGACUGCGAGCGUGACGGCGCGAGCAGGUGCGAAAGCAGGUCAUAGUGAUCCGGUGGUUCUGAAUGGAAGGGCCAUCGCUCAACGGAUAAAAGGUACUCCGGGGAUAACAGGCUGAUACCGCCCAAGAGUUCAUAUCGACGGCGGUGUUUGGCACCUCGAUGUCGGCUCAUCACAUCCUGGGGCUGAAGUAGGUCCCAAGGGUAUGGCUGUUCGCCAUUUAAAGUGGUACGCGAGCUGGGUUUAGAACGUCGUGAGACAGUUCGGUCCCUAUCUGCCGUGGGCGCUGGAGAACUGAGGGGGGCUGCUCCUAGUACGAGAGGACCGGAGUGGACGCAUCACUGGUGUUCGGGUUGUCAUGCCAAUGGCACUGCCCGGUAGCUAAAUGCGGAAGAGAUAAGUGCUGAAAGCAUCUAAGCACGAAACUUGCCCCGAGAUGAGUUCUCCCUGACCCUUUAAGGGUCCUGAAGGAACGUUGAAGACGACGACGUUGAUAGGCCGGGUGUGUAAGCGCAGCGAUGCG